AAAAAGGCGAAGACAGGGACAGUACUUUUACAAGUUCUUUUUUAGCGAAUCAGGGACGGUGCAAGCCUGGUAAGAAGUUGUAAAAUAGGAAAAUCACCCUUAAGCCUCACACCGAACAAUACUUUUAGCGUUUAAUUUGCAAAGUUUUAAGUAGGCUGUGACGAGUCAUUCACGUUACGGAUUAAAAGUGAACAGUACAAAAAACUGUUUAUUAGGGUGGUACCGCGGGUAAACCUUCUCGUCCCUUUA
rnacentral:ncRNA from 1 species